rnacentral:misc_RNA from 1 species
CUGAGUUCGGGGGCAAUCCCAGUCCCGACCUCCAACCCUUUGUGAACAUAUCUUGUCGCUUCGGGGGCGACCCUGCCGUUCGCGGCAUUCCCCCCGGAGGUCAUCAAAACACUGCAUUAUUACGUCGGAGUAAAAAGUUAAUUUAAUA